rnacentral:rRNA from 1 species
AACGCGAAGAACCUUACCUGGUCUUGACAUCCACGGAAGUUUUCAGAGAUGAGAAUGUGCCUUCGGGAACCGUGAGACAGGUGCUGCAUGGCUGUCGUCAGCUCGUGUUGUGAAAUGUUGGGUUAAGUCCCGCAACGAGCGCAACCCUUAUCCUUUGUUGCCAGCGGUCCGGCCGGGAACUCAAAGGAGACUGCCAGUGAUAAACUGGAGGAAGGUGGGGAUGACGUCAAGUCAUCAUGGCCCUUACGACCAGGGCUACACACGUGCUACAAUGGCGCAUACAAAGAGAAGCGACCUCGCGAGAGCAAGCGGACCUCAUAAAGUGCGUCGUAGUCCGGAUUGGAGUCUGCAACUCGACUCCAUGAAGUCGGAAUCGCUAGUAAUCGUGGAUCAGAAUGCCACGGUGAAUACGUUCCCGGGCCUUGUACACACCGCCCG